UUUUAUGGAGAGUUUGAUCCUGGCUCAGGAUGAACGCUGGCGGCGUGCCUAAUACAUGCAAGUCGAGCGAACGGACGAGAAGCUUGCUUCUCUGAUGUUAGCGGCGGACGGGUGAGUAACACGUGGAUAACCUACCUAUAAGACUGGGAUAACUUCGGGAAACCGGAGCUAAUACCGGAUAAUAUUUUGAACCGCAUGGGUCAAAAGUGAAAG
rnacentral:rRNA from 1 species